GGAUUGGGAUAUUCCGACUCCUUAAGGGCCUGGCGCACAUAAGGGCCACAUCUGCCAGAGCCUGGAGUCUGCGAAGGCCGGGACCCGGUUCCCCGGCCCACAGUGGGGGUGUGCAAACCCGAGAGAACUGGUCGCUGAAACCUCUACAACUUAGUUGACCGUAACUGCCAGAGCCCUGCCCUGAAUUCCUGUCCUUACUCCCUCUUUAAGAUUGCGUACCCACUGCAGAGUGCUGAAGACGGGGUAGCCACGAGGUUGCAAAUUCGUGAAGAAUCAGCAUCAUGUUUGGCAGCUGAGUAUUGGAGCCAGGAGCCUGCCAUGAGGUUUUGAGAACAGAGUGCUGUUUUAGAGCUGGCAGCAGCAUCUCAGCCCAAGAGAAGGUUAUAUUCCCAGAGGAUGUCAGUCCCAAGGACCAGUAGCUGCCAUCAGUUUGGAUUCUGAAAACUAACUGGCAUCAACACUGGGUGUAGAAACAUGCUUGCCUUAUGUAUCAGAGGACAUGCUCAGCAGAUCCAAGAGAUAUAUUUGGCAACUUUUUCUAGAAAAGGCACAUUGGGUAUCAUUCAUUACAUUCUUGAGUUUUUUUGGGUUUUUUUUUUUUUUUUUGAGACAGUCUUGCUGUAUUGCCCAGGCUGGAGUGUGGUGGCACAAUCACAGCUCAUUGCAUCCUCAAUCACCCAGGCCUAAGCAAUCCUCCCACCUUGUAGCUGGGACUACAGCUCACAGCACACCUGGCUAAAAUUUUUUUUUUGUUGAGACGGAUUCUCUAUGUUGCCCAGGCUGGUCUCAGGCUCCUGGGCUCAGAUGGUCCUCCUGCCUCAGCUUCCAAAGGCACAGGCCAAGUUGUAGCUUUGUCCCUUGCCAUCAUGCCCAACAAGAGGUUCUAUACCUUUUAAUGAAUUGACUUUCAUAAAUUGGUUAUGUUGGUGGGCAAAGUUCUUUAAGCUGGAAAUUGUAAAUUCCUCCUGAAAUGUUUUUUCAUGCAGUUACCAUGAACUAAUACUACAAUAAAGGAUGGUCUUGGGUGUCAAUUCUUGAAAA
rnacentral:lncRNA from 1 species